UGAGUACGAGCUGCUACGGCAGCGAAGUGGGUGAUGUCAAGCUUCCAAGAAAAGCCCUAUACCCGUUAAGGCAUGACGGCCUGUACCCGAAACCGACACAGGUGGGGUGGUAGAGAAUACCGAGGGGCGCGAGAUAACUCUCUCUAAGGAACUCGGCAAAAUGGCCCCGUAACUUCGGGAGAAGGGGUGCCACCGCAAGGUGGUCGCAGUGAAGAGGCCCAGGCGACUGUUUACCAAAAACACAGGUCUCCGCUAAGUCGCAAGACGAUGUAUGGGGGCUGACGCCUGCCCAGUGCCGGAAGGUUAAGGAAGCUGGUCAGCGCAAGCGAAGCUAGCGACUGAAGCCCCGGUGAACGGCGGCCGUAACUAUAACGGUCCUAAGGUAGCGAAAUUCCUUGUCGGGUAAGUUCCGACCCGCACGAAAGGCGUAACGAUCUGGGCGCUGUCUCGGAGAGAGGCUCGGCGAAAUAGAAUUGUCUGUGAAGAUGCGGACUACGUGCACCCGGACAGAAAGACCCUAUGAAGCUUUACUGUAGCUUGGUAUUGUGCCCGGGCUCUGAAUGCGCAGGAUAGGUGGGAGGCUUUGAUCCAUUGCUUGUGGGUAAUGGUGAGCCACUGGUGAGAUACCACUCUUUCAGAGCUAGGGUUCUAACGGUCACCCGUUAUCCGGGGACCGGACAGUAUCAGGUGGGCAGUUUGACUGGGGCGGUCGCCUCCUAAAAGGUAGCGGAGGCGCGCAAAGGUUCCCUCAGGCUGUUGGAAAUCAGCCGACGAGUGUUAAGGCAGAAGGGAGCUUGACUGUGAGACCUACAAGUCGAACAGGGACGAAAGUCGGCCUUAGUGAUCCGACGGUUCUGAGUGGAAGGGCCGUCGCUCAACGGAUAAAAGUUACUCUAGGAUAACAGGCUGAUCUCCCCCAAGAGUUCACAUCGACGGGGAGGUUUGGCACCUCGAUGUCGGCUCAUCGCAACCUGGGGCUGAAGUCGGUCCCAAGGGUUGGGCUGUUCGCCCAUUAAAGCGGUACGCGAGCUGGGUUCAGAACGUCGUGAGACAGUUCGGUCCAUAUCCGGUGCACGCGCAGGAACAUUGAGAGGAUUUCUCCCUAGUACGAGAGGACCGGGAGGAACGCACCUCUGGUGUACCAGUUAUCGUGCCAACGGUAAACGCUGGGUAGCCAUGUGCGGAGCGGAUAACCGCUGAAAGCAUCUAAGUGGGAAGCCCACCUCAAGAUGAGUGUUCCCAUGGCAUAAGCCAGUAAGGUCACGGGAAGAACACCCGUUGAUAGGCUCUACGUGGAAGCGUGGCAACACGUGAAGCGGAGGAGUACUAAUAGACCGAGGGCUUGACC
rnacentral:rRNA from 1 species